rnacentral:rRNA from 1 species
CCUACGGGAGGCAGCAGUAAGGAAUAUUGGUCAAUGGGGGCAACCCUGAACCAGCCAUGCCGCGUGCAGGAUGAAGGCCCUAUGGGUCGUAAACUGCUUUUAUACCGGAGAAAACCACCGUACGUGUACGGUGUUGAUAGUAUGGUAAGAAUAAGCAUCGGCUAACUUCGUGCCAGCAGCCGCGGUAAGACGAAGGAUGCAAGCGUUAUCCGGAUUCAUUGGGUUUAAAGGGUGCGUAGGCGGACCUGUAAGUCAGUGGUGAAAUCUCUUUGCUUAACAAAGAAACUGCCAUUGAUACUGCAAGUCUAGAGUAUAGAUGACGUUGGCGGAAUAUGACAUGUAGUGGUGAAAUACUUAGAUAUGUCAUAGAACACCGAUUGCGAAGGCAGCUAACGAAACUAUAACUGACGCUGAGGCACGAAAGUGCGGGGAUCAAACAGGAUUAGAUACCCUGGUAGUCCGCACCGUAAACGAUGAUUACUCGUUGUUGGCAAUAUGACCGUCAGCGACCAAGCGAAAGCGAUAAGUAAUCCACCUGGGGAGUACGCGGCAACGGUGAAACUCGAAAUGAAUUGACGGCGNGAGAGAGCGAGACGACGACGAGGGAGGAGG